rnacentral:lncRNA from 1 species
UUCAGCCAGAUCAACAGAUUUGAAAUUCAAAUCUCGCCUCUCUCCUCUCUUUCUCUCUCUUUCUCUGGAGGUGAAUCGGAUGAUAAAUCACGCGAUUCCUCUUUAGAUCUGUGUUUGUUUCUUCUUCAGAUAUAUGAAAAAGUUGCAAACUCUCCCAACGAGGUGAAACCGCCAGAAAUCAUAUGGAUCUGGUGACAGCUAUGAUAGAUGUGGUGCAAUGGUGGAGCCGUUCAACAACAAUGACUAGAUUGGUGAUGUUUUAGUUCCUAUUCGCAGCUGUAUCCUCGAUAUCAGGCAAACUAGGGUUUGGUGGUCUUCCUUCUUACGCAGAGCAAUCUCCGUCUUCAAGAGGUUACUCGCAAGCUUGCUCAGAGAUGAGGAAAGGAUCCACCCGAUUUUUUGGAUGUGACGCGACAAACAGCUAAGUGUUUGGAAGAGAGGCUUUAAAGUAUUGCUGAAACGAAAAGUUGGACCUUAAUGUGUUUAUUGCGCUGAGAAAGGGUCUUUUGAGACCCGUAGUUAGAUUGAAGAAUAUGAGUGUGGUGAAUAAUCAGUUCGUCUUGCUUAUGUUCAAUCGCUUCAUGUCGUUGGGAUUGACCUACGUAGAUUUGUAGAGGCUGAAGAGUUGUUAUAUUCAUCUAUCUCCCACAGAAAACGAUAAAAACCCCUGCACAUUCACCACACCCAUCACCAUCUUCACGGCACCCUGGUUGUGCUGAUACCGGUCUGGGAGAUUCCGGCAAACUAGGGUUUGGUAGGUGGAGAUUCCGGCCAUCUAGGGCUUAAACAAGUUCUCUCCGGCGACUGGAUGGUGAAGGCACCAAGCUUUUCAGCUUCAUAUUUUAUUAGACUACCUGUUAGUUUGUGGAGCAUGUGACCUUUUCCUCUUUUCAACUAAAGAGGAAAAUGGUUUCCUUGUGCCUUUUGAUUUUCACAAAAUGUUGAUUUGUUAUAUAUAGAACAUUUAAGCUUCAGAAGAUCUCUCUUGCUGAUCUGCGAAGUAGAAUUCCAAUGAGGAUUCAGGGUUUAACACUUUCAAUCAAUAGUGGACGUAACACAAUUUUUGUUGAGCCCUGAGGACUGAAGGCGGAUCUGUAGUUCUGCACACGACGGCUUGUUACUGUAAUGGUUAAGAACUGGCGUCUUUUUUUAAUGAUUGUUGAGCUUCAUGGUGUCCUGGUGGCUAUGAAGAUCCUACAAUAGUGACCGGAAUUGGAACAAUCGAUGGUGGGCGAUAUGUGUUGUGGUCAUCAAAAUGGUCGAUGCCUUACUUUUUAGAUCGUCACCAAGAUCAUUAUUCUGAUUUCAUUACAACAGCUGCCCAUCCUGCAUUUGAUGUUGUCAAUAAAGGUGCUCGACCAACUGUCCCGCAUGACUGCCUUCCAGAGUUCCAGUUGUGAGACAUGAAUUCAGAUGUCAGACCACCCUUUACCGAGGUGGUCUGAAUGCUCAUGGUGCACAAAGCUUGGUUCAGGUGCUGCAUGAUUCAGCCCAUGACUACUGAUUGAUGUGUGCGUGGAAAAAUA